CUUUGGAGGAGUAAAUAUGAAAGACUCGUACUGCAGGCUCACCAGCCAAGGCGCACUGUGCCACUUCGCGUUCCCAGCCGAAGCCAACACUCCAGGCGUUUGGGAAGGCUGUCUGGUUGCUGUCUUAACUGUUGGUCACACACACCUGGGCCGAAAACGACUGGCAUCUGAAACCCCUUGGACUUGCUGGAGGCAGCCUAGUCUACCUGCGGAUGUUGUGAAUUAGGAGCUGGCCAAAGAGUGGGAGAGCUCCAGGAUCCCUCCCCAAAAAAGAGUGCU
rnacentral:lncRNA from 1 species